AGAGAGUAAGCCGAAAAUCUAAAGAGUAGGCA
rfam:Marinosulfonomonas sp. PRT-SC04 contig_1255, whole genome shotgun sequence.